ensembl:lncRNA UCA1 urothelial cancer associated 1
GCUGACUCUCUUUUCAGACUCAGCCCACUUGCACCCAAGUGAAUUAACAGCCUUGUUGCUCACACAAAGCCUGUUUAGGUGGUCUUCUAUACGGACAUGCUUGACACUUGGUGCCAAAAUCUGGGCCAGGGGGACUCCUUCGUGAGACCGGCCCCCUGUCCUGGCCCUCAUUCCGUGAAGAGAUCCACCUGCGACCUCGGGUCCUCAGACCAGCCCAAGGAACAUCUCACCAAUUUCAAAUCGGCCCCUUCUAGGGUCCCUGGAGCUCUGGCUCAAAGCUCUCUGGCUGACUCCUUCCCAGAUCUCCUCGGCUUAGUGGCUGAAGACUGAUGCUGCCCGAUCGCCUCAGAAGCCCCUUGGACCAUCACAGAUGCCGAGCUUCGGGUAACUCUUACGGUGGAGGAUUCCCAGCCAUAUGAAGACACCCUAGCUGGACGAUCAGUCCUUGUCAAAAGUCUGACCCCUCAAACUCUACAGCCUCAAUGGACCAGACCCUACCCGGUCAUUUAUAGCACACCAACUGCCGUCCAUCUGCAGGACCCUCUCCAUUGGGUUCACCAUUCCAGAAUAAAGCCAUGCCCAUCAGACAGCCAGCUUGAUCUCUCCUCUUCCUCCUGGAAGCCACAAGAUUAGGCCGAGAGCCGAUCAGACAAACAACCUACAACCCUUAAGCUCCUGGCAGCGCCCAGCCAAGGCCAUGCUUCCUUGCAACACUCCUUCCAAAUGGCCAUCCCAGCAUGCUUCCAAGCAGGCUUCAUCCGUUCCUCUGGACCCUCAUCUCUUAAGACCUGCCGCCUAUAAAAAGGAUUAUAUCUUGAGACCCUAUCCUCUAAAAUUUUUUCCACACCCAAAACAAAAAAUCUCUGGGUCAAAAGUCUAAAACGCUUAGGCUGGCAACCAUCAGAUCCUUGCCCAUGGUGUCCUCAAGCCUACUCUCAUGAAAUGGACAACAGUACACGCAUAUGGGGCCAGUUCCACAUAUUUGGCAACCAGACCAGCAUCCAGGACAACACAAAGUAUGUUGUUUGUUGUUAGAGGGCUUGGGACAUUUCACUCUUUGCCAGCCUCAGCUUAAUCCAGGAGACAAAGAUUAUUUUCCUUAUUAUCUCUUCUGCAUAGGAUCUGCAAUCAGAACUAUUGAACUUCUCCAUUCAGACCGCCACUCACACCUAUGGGAAAAGGGUAAUGUAUCAUCGGCUUAGCAACAGGGAAUACUAUUCGUAUGAUGGAAAAUGGGGACAAAAGGCUUUGGUACAUAAAACAUUAUUCCUUCCUUGGCCUAAAAACUCAUCGCCACCUACAUUAAAGCUAAUAUGCCU